ACGGCGUACAUUUUCUUUAAUUAUCCUUUUACGUAUUAACCAUCGCGUAUAUCAUUUUGAUUUUUCCAGUUCUCUGUAAAGAGUUUAGCUUUUAAAUAACCCUUGAUCGAAAUUUAAAGCCGAGUAAAUACGAAUAAGACGAGAAA